rnacentral:lncRNA from 1 species
GAUUUUUUCACCCUCUUCUCUUUUUUCAUUUUUUUUACAUUACAUUUGUAAUGCCCCAGUUUGACUGUUUAGCUGAUUCUCAUGAUACAGCUGAAUGAGCUUCCUUUUGUGCUCACGAAGUCGGGUAAUCUCAUCAGGAAUCCCCUUCAACAUCAUCUUCCUCUGCCUCGAAUACAAGGAAUUCAAAUUUGGGAGAUGGCGUUGGAUCAUUA